AUUGAACGCUGGCGGCAGGCCUAACACAUGCAAGUCGAACGAGUGGCGGACGGGUGUGUAAUGUCGGGGAAACUGCCUGAUGGAGGGGGAAAACUACUGGAAACGGGAGCUAAUACCGCAUACCAUCAGAUGUGCCCAUGUGGGAUUAGCGUGUGGGUGGGGUAACGGCUCACCAAGGCGACGAUCCCUAUCUGGUCUGAGAGGAUGACCAGCCACACUGGAACUGAGACACGGUCCAGACUCCUACGGGAGGCAGCAGUGGGGAAUAUUGCACAAUGGGCGCAAGCCUGAUGCAGCCAUGCCGCGUGUAUGAAGAAGGCCUUCGGGUUGUAAAGUACUUUCAGCGGGGAGGCGUUACCCGCAGAAGAAGCACCGGCUAACUCCGUGCCAGCAGCCGCGGUAAUUC
rnacentral:rRNA from 1 species